GGUUUCUUGAAUAUAUUUAAGAGAUCUAACCUGCCCACUGAAAAUAUUUUGAAGGGCCGCAGUAUUUUGACUGUGCAAAGGUAGCAUAAUCAUUAGUCUUUUAAUUGAAGGCUGGUAUGAAUGGUUGGACGAGGUAAAUACUGUUUUAUGUUAAUUGAAAUUGAAUUUAGAAUUUAAGUAAAAAGACUUAAAUAUUAUUAAGGGACGAGAAGACCCUAUAGAGUUUAAUAAGUUUAAUAAAUAAUUGAGUUAUUAAUUAAUUUUUGGUUUUUAUGAAAUUUAUUUAAUUGGGGUGAUUAGAGGAUAAAGAAAACUCUUCUUUAAAAUUAAUAUUAUUAUAAGUUUUAUGAUCCAUUAUUAAUGAUUAAAAGAUUAAAUUACCUUAGGGAUAACAGCAUAAUUCUUUUUAAGAGUUCAUAUCGAAAAAGGAGAUUGUGACCUCGAUGUUGGAUUAAGAUUAGUUUUGGGUGCAGAUGUUCAAUAACUAGGUCUGUUCGACCUUGAAAAUCUUACA
rnacentral:rRNA from 1 species